AUUGAACGCUGGCGGCAUGCCUUACACAUGCAAGUCGAACGGCAGCGCGGGAGCAAUCCUGGCGGCGAGUGGCGAACGGGUGAGUAAUAUAUCGGAACGUGCCCAGUAGUGGGGGAUAGCCCGGCGAAAGCCGGAUUAAUACCGCAUGAGACCUGAGGGUGAAAGCGGGGGAUCGCAAGACCUCGCGCUAUUGGAGCGGCCGAUAUCAGAUUAGCUAGUUGGUGGGGUAAAGGCCUACCAAGGCAACGAUCUGUAGUUGGUCUGAGAGGACGACCAGCCACACUGGGACUGAGACACGGCCCAGACUCCUACGGGAGGCAGCAGUGGGGAAUUUUGGACAAUGGGCGCAAGCCUGAUCCAGCAAUGCCGCGUGCAGGAAG
rnacentral:rRNA from 1 species